GGAGAAGUGGCCGAGUGGUCGAAGGCACUCCCUUGCUAAGGGAGCGUACUCCAAAAGGGUACCGUGGGUUCGAAUCCCACCUUCUCCG
rnacentral:tRNA from 1 species